UAAACCAUUUUCAGUGGUACCGCUGAGAAAGAGUAAUUGUUUCGGUCAUGGAAAAUUAGGUAAAGGUCAUGGAAAAGUCAUUGAAAAUCAUUGGUGAAAAAGUGUAUGAACUCCAACACAUAGAAGUCUGGCAAAUGUCUCGCCUCCAAAUUCAAUUUUAGCAAUGUUUUCCAGAAUUGUUGUUGUUGAAGUAGCAACUUUAAUGUUGACAUAGCUGAGAUACGGACAAGCUCUUAACAUUGGAACAACUUCAUACCUUCAUGAUGGUUAUCAGACAUUUCUUCAGUGGAAGAUCUGGACAUUCCUGUGUUUUCAUCUGAAGAAUUGUCCUGCUCUUUCUCUGCAAACAAAUUAUCUAUUUCAAGUCUCAGGUUUCAACAAUUUUGUUUUCAAUGAUAUAUGGAACUAAAGCUGGGUGAAAUAUCGUUUCUAGCAAAAAGGGUGUAUAAAAGGCAACAGGAAACAAACUGUGAAGUGCUGUUGUUUAUUUGUAGGCAGAUGGUGUGCCAGAUGGAAGAGACUGCCACACACAUCAUAUGAUUACCUGAAGUGAUCGUGUUAGUCCCUCCAUCAGCGGUGAGCUCUGCGUCAGAGCAGAUGUCACCGAAGAUAAAACGGAUCUUCUCCUCUGCAUGCUGCUCAUUGGAGGAGCCGUGCACCGAGUUGUGGAGGAUGUCGGAGGCAAAGCGUGCCCUCAGAGAGUCUGGGGAUGUUUCCUUAGCUUGUUCUGGGUCUGUGGGGCCCAUUAUGACCCUCCAUUCCUCCACUGCAUUUUCCUUGCACAUCUCUUUGGAGAGCCACGGUGAAGCCUGACUUAUGGAUAUGAGCCAAGAUCUCCUCUGCAGAAUUGUACAAAUAAAAGACACAAUCAUUUGCUGGAACUGCUACCUCCGCGACCCGACCACGGAUAAGCGGGAGAAGAUGGAUGGAUGAAUCAUUUGCCGGUUUAGGCCGGAUAAGAGCCAGUGUCCUCUCCACACGCUCUUCCUCCCCAUCCUGCUCCGUUGCUGAGGCCGUCCUAAAGUUGGGGAAGAAGAAGGCGAGCUCCCUGCUGGCCUGGUCGAUGUCCUCACUGCCGUGCACGGCGUUGAACAGUGUCUGUGUGCCGUAUUGUGCCCGCAAGCUGCAGGAAGCCGGGGGGGGGGGAAAGGAGAGGAGAGCAGAUGGUUGCUCGGCUGGUGCUCAACCAGAGAGAAGCAUAAUGUUUGGGUGUGUCUGACGGAGCAUGUGAGAAUGUGCUGUUCAUGUGCUUUACCCGCCUUAAGCCUGAGAUCGUUUCACACAAUCAACCGUGUGAAUACACAAAUGCUCUUCUUUACAAAUACUUAAGGUUGAUCUUAUCAUACCAGAUCUUACAGUUGUAACUCUUUUUGUGAAUGAAGAAUAAUUUCCAGCAAACUAACCUUUCUGGUUUUUCCCUCCUGGCUUCCUCUAUGUCUGCUGGACCAAUGUACUCCCGCCAUGCUGGGACAACGUUAGCUGAGCCCUCAACCUGAGAGAGAACCAGAACGUGGGACGGACCACUGGACAUAAACUGCACCAACUCCUCAAAGCAAGCCUACAAACCACAUAAACACAGAGACAAGAGAAUACACACAUGUUAGGCAAAGAAAGUGUUUUUAAAUCAGGCCUUACAUUUACAAGGUGAAAAAGAAUGAAGAAAGGCGGAUCAAAAAUAUAUUAUAAUAUUUGUUCAUUGUUUUUUAACUAGCCCCUUUCCUCAUGUUUUGUAUUUCUCAAUCUGGAAUCAUUUAGUCUCUUCACAAACAGCACGAUAAGCAAAAAAAGCAACACAAAAAAAAGCUGCUUGCACAGCAGACCUAUUUUAAGCCCUGUGCAGAAAUGCAGAUGGAAGUGUGAUGUAUUGCAAACUAAUUGCAAUGAUUUUUGCACUGUUCGUGACUGCCCUACCAUUAGGAUGUUUAUUCAGAAUCUAAUUGCCCAGACUAAUCACACAGACGAGUGUGCCAAACACAAAGAAUGUGUUUAUGUCAACUGUUUUCUGUCAUGUUUGGGUGAGAUGUGCUCUUUAGCUUUAGCUCCAUACCUCUUCUGCUUUAUGCUGGUAAAAAUCUCGAGCCUCAGCCUCAGUCAGCGUGCGUUCCUCUUGGGCCAGGAUCUCGAACCCAGCGUCUUGAAUCUAGCCAGGGGAUUAACGUUGGGUUAAUGAACUAAUAUCAGCAGGAAAGGUUGAGGCAAUAUUGUCUUUCAGAAGGUGAGCAGUCUGCGUACCUUCAUAAUGAGCUCAUUUGCCUUGCCGUGAGCAACAGCAUCUGGUUUUAUGAUGGCAACUGUGUAGGAUUUACUGGCAGGAACUACGGGAGAAAACAGCUUGAGUCAUGAUGGUUGAUAAUGCAAAGAUGAAUCAUUAUGACGCUGGGUAACAACCGUGAUUAUCAGGGUAACAACAUUUUCAGUAUAAGGAUAAUGACAAAAAGUAUAUAGACCACAAAUAGUAUUAUAGUGUCUCCACAGUACCUAUUAUGCUGUCUUCUUCUUCUGACUGCUCAGGCGUCUUCUCCUCGUCUUUUUUCUCAUCCUCCACCAGACCUUCAUCUGUAACCUGAGGGACACAAAAAUACCAAAUAAAAACACUAUUCCCUGAACAUGGGUGUGUACAAA